rnacentral:rRNA from 1 species
CCUACGGGGGGCAGCAGUGGGGAAUAUUGCACAAUGGGGGAAACCCUGAUGCAGCGACGCCGCGUGAGUGAAGAAGUAUUUCGGUACGUAAAGCUCUAUCAGCAGGGAAGAAGAAAGACGGUACCUGACUAAGAAGCCCCGGCUAACUACGUGCCAGCAGCCGCGGUAAUACGUAGGGGGCAAGCGUUAUCCGGAUUUACUGGGUGUAAAGGGAGCGUAGACGGCUGUGCAAGUCUGAAGUGAAAGCCCAGGGCUCAACCCUGGGACUGCUUUGGAAACUGUGGAGCUAGAGUGCUGGAGAGGUAAGUGGAAUUCCUAGUGUAGCGGUGAAAUGCGUAGAUAUUAGGAGGAACACCAGUGGCGAAGGCGGCUUACUGGACAGUAACUGACGUUGAGGCUCGAAAGCGUGGGGAGCAAACAGGAUUAGAUACCCGAGUAGUC